rnacentral:rRNA from 1 species
GCAGUCGAACGGUGAAGCUCCAGCUUGCUGGAGUGGAUCAGUGGCGAACGGGUGAGUAACACGUGAGCAACCUGCCCCAAACUCUGGAAUAAGCGCUGGAAACGGCGUCUAAUACUGGAUACGAGACCAACCUGCAUGGGUAUGGUUUGGAAAGUUUUUCGGUUUGGGAUGGGCUCGCGGCCUAUCAGCUUGUUGGUGAGGUAAUGGCUCACCAAGGCGACGACGGGUAGCCGGCCUGAGAGGGCGACCGGCCACACUGGGACUGAGACACGGCCCAGACUCCUACGGGAGGCAGCAGUGGGGAAUAUUGCACAAUGGGCGAAAGCCUGAUGCAGCGACGCCGCGUGAGGGAUGACGGCCUUCGGGUUGUAAACCUCUUUCAGCAGGGAAGAAGCGAAAGUGACGGUACCUGCAGAAGAAGCACCGGCUAACUACGUGCCAGCAGCCGCGGUAAUACGUAGGGUGCGAGCGUUGUCCGGAAUUAUUGGGCGUAAAGAGCUUGUAGGCGGUUUGUCGCGUCUGCUGUGAAAAUCCGGGGCUCAACCCCGGACUUGCAGUGGGUACGGGCAGACUAGAGUGUGGUAGGGGAGACUGGAAUUCCUGGUGUAGCGGUGAAAUGCGCAGAUAUCAGGAGGAACACCGAUGGCGAAGGCAGGUCUCUGGGCCACUACUGACGCUGAGAAGCGAAAGCAUGGGGAGCGAACAGGAUUAGAUACCCUGGUAGUCCAUGCCGUAAACGUUGGGAACUAGGUGUGGGUCUCAUUCCACGAGAUCCGUGCCGCAGCUAACGCAUUAAGUUCCCCGCCUGGGGAGUACGGCCGCAAGGCUAAAACUCAAAGGAAUUGACGGGGGCCCGCACAAGCGGCGGAGCAUGCGGAUUAAUUCGAUGCAACGCGAAGAACCUUACCAAGGCUUGACAUAUACCGGAAACUUCCAGAGAUGGUUGCCCCUUUUAGGUCGGUAUACAGGUGGUGCAUGGUUGUCGUCAGCUCGUGUCGUG